rnacentral:lncRNA from 1 species
CAAGCAUAAUGGGUCAGAAUGGACCAGACCGGUCCAUUUUAGUACCAUAUGAUAAAAUUGUGAAGUCGUGUAAUGUGUAUUAUUUCUACAUUCACUUAGGGGAAAACAUUAGGUUUAGUAAGAAAAGUCGUGCGUAUUAUUUAUACCGUAAGAAAAGUCAUGUGUAUUAUUUAUACCGUAAGAAAAGUCAUGCGGGCUUUUUUCUUGUUCACCAAAUAAUGUUGGGCCGGACAACGUGGAUUCGGAAUUUUGUCCAAGCAUAAUGGGCCGGAAUGGGCCGGACAGCGUGGAUU